GACGAACGCUGGCGGCGUGCUUAACACAUGCAAGUCGAACGGAAAGGCCCUGCUUUUGUGGGGUGCUCGAGUGGCGAACGGGUGAGUAACACGUGAGUAACCUGCCCUUGACUUUGGGAUAACUUCAGGAAACUGGGGCUAUUACCGGAUAUGAGCUCCUGCUGCAUGGUGGGGGUUGGAAAGUUUCGGCGGUUGUGGAUGGACUCGCGGCUUAUCCGCUUGUUGGUGGGGUAGUGGCUUUCCAAGGCUUUGACGGGUAGCCGGCCUGAGAGGGUGACCGGCGACAUUGGGACUGAGAGACGGCCCAGAAUCCUACGGGAGGCAGCAGUGGGGAAUAUUGCACAAUGGGCGGAAGCCUGAUGCAGCAACGCCGCGUGCGGGAUGACGGCCUUCGGGUUGUAAACCGCUUUCGCCUGUGACGAAGCGUGAGUGACGGUAAUGGGUAAAGAAGCACCGGCUAACUACGUG
rnacentral:rRNA from 1 species